AGAGUUUGAUCCUGGCUCAGGAUGAACGCUAGCUACAGGCUUAACACAUGCAAGUCGAGGGGCAGCAUGGUCUUAGCUUGCUAAGGCUGAUGGCGACCGGCACACGGGUGAGUAACACGUAUCCAACCUGCCGUCUACUCUUGGCCAGCCUUCUGAAAGGAAGAUUAAUCCAGGAUGGCAUCAUGAGUUCACAUGUCCGCAUGAUUAAAGGUAUUUUCCGGUAGACGAUGGGGAUGCGUUCCAUUAGAUAGUAGGCGGGGUAACGGCCCACCUAGUCAACGAUGGAUAGGGGUUCUGAGAGGAAGGUCCCCCACAUUGGAACUGAGACACGGUCCAAACUCCUACGGGAGGCAGCAGUGAGGAAUAUUGGUCAAUGGGCGAUGGCCUGAACCAGCCAAGUAGCGUGAAGGAUGACUGCCCUAUGGGUUGUAAACUUCUUUUAUAAAGGAAUAAAGUCGGGUAUGCAUACCCGUUUGCAUGUACUUUAUGAAUAAGGAUCGGCUAACUCCGUGCCAGCAGCCGCGGU
rnacentral:rRNA from 1 species